rnacentral:lncRNA from 10 species
CCCUCCCAAGGCAAGUUCAACUGGGUUCUUUGGCAGCCGAAGUCUACACGGACCCUGCAGGGAGCGGUGGAGAAAAGUUAGAUGUCUGAAGUGUUUUUCAUUGGACCAAAAUCAAGGUGUUGGCUGGGCUACCUUCCCUUCUGGAGACUCUAAGGAAGAAUCCAUUUCCUUGUCUUUUCCAGAUCCUAGAGGCUACCUGCAUUCCUUGGCUUUUAUCCCCAAUCUUCCAUCUUCGGAGCCAGCAACACACCUUUUUCUUCCUUCCAUGAUAUAGAUAUAUUGAUCAUGAGGAGAGGGCUCACCCCUCACCCGGAGAAGUAGUUGGGGAAGCAAUAUGCGGAAACAAAGCCAUGAAUCUGACAAGAAAUGUACUUAAGAUUGUAUAUAUGGAGAUGAAUACCCAUUGUCCUUUGCACUUUCUGGAUGAUAAAUUAGAAAAGAAAAAUCCAAAGAAUGAAGUUGUGCUAUUUGUCCUCACUUCUGAUUUGGGAAACUAGAGGAAAUUAAGAUGGGAAAAGACCAUGUGAGGACACAGUGAGAAGGAGACCAUAUGCAAAGCAGGAAGGAAGAUCUCACUGGAACCAAAAACCAGCCCUGCUGGCACCCUGAUCUUGGACUUCUAGCCUUUCUCAGAACUGUGAGAAAAUAAAUUUCUGAUGUUUCAG